rnacentral:rRNA from 1 species
AAGUUUAACGGCCGCGGUACCCUAACCGUGCAAAGGUAGCGCAAUCACUUGUUCUUUAAAUGAGGACUAGUAUGAACGGCAUCACGAGGGUUAUACUGUCUCCCCCCUUUUUUCAGUGAAACUGAUCUUCCCGUGAAGAAGCGGGAAUAUAAAUAUAAGACGAGAAGACCCCAUGGAGCUUUAAACUCAGAAUCAACUGCUACAAACUUAGCCUAAUAACUACGCAGGAAUGACUUCUAGUUUUAGGUUGGGGUGACCGCGGAGUAAAAUAAAACCUCCACGACGAAAGGAACUAACCGCCUAAACCAAGAGCCACAGCUCUAAGUAUUAAAACAUUAACCUAAUUGAUCCAAUUACUUGAUCAACGAACCAAGUUACCCUGGGGAUAACAGCGCAAUCCAUUUCAAGAGCUCAUAUCGACAAAUGGGUUUACGACCUCGAUGUUGGAUCAGGA